AAAGGGUGCGCAGGCUGGCGCCUAAGUCGGAGGUGAAAUCUUGCCGCUUAACGGUAAAAUUGCCCCCGAUACUGGGUGUCUUGAAUCUGACAGAGGUCGGUGGAAUUCGUGGUGUAGCGGUGAAAUGCAUAGAUAUCACGAAGAACAUCAGUGGCGAAGGCGGCCGGCUGGGUCAGUAUUGACGCUGAGGCACGAGAGCGUGGGGAGCGAACAGGAUUAGAUACCCUGGUAGUCCACGCUGUAAACGAUGUAUGCUAGUUGUGGGGCUUUCGGGCUCCGUGACGCAGUUAACGCAGUAAGCAUACCACCUGGGGAGUACGCUCGCAAGAAUGAAACUCAAAGGAAUUGACGGGGGCCCGCACAAGCGGUGGAGCAUGUGGCUUAAUUCGAUGCAACGCGAAGAACCUUACCCGGGCUAAAUUUCAGGCGAUCGGUCCCGAAACGGACCUUCCCUUCGGGGCGGCUGAGAAGGUGCUGCAUGGCUGUCGUCAGCUCGUGCCGUGAGGUGUUGCCUUAAGUGGCGCAACGAGCGCAACCCCUGUGGUUAGUUACCAGCACGUAAUGGUGGGGACUCUAGCCAGACUGCCUACGCAAGUAGUGAGGAAGGUGGGGACGACGUCAAGUCAUCAUGGCCCUUAUGUCCGGGGCUGCACACGUGCUACAAUGGACGGUACAACGGGAAGCCACCACGCAAGUGGGCGCAGAUCCUGAAAGCCGUUCCCAGUUCGGAUUGGAGUCUGCAACUCGACUCCAUGAAGGU
rnacentral:rRNA from 1 species